AGGAGGUCGCAUCCUGGGUGACAGAAACAGCCUCCACCAGUCAAGAAGCUCCCAGAAGCGCCUUGCCAUGGACCUGGAAGAUGGAGAGAACAUGAGUAAGACCUCGGCCCGCCACGUGGUCCCGAGCGCUGGUCUCCUGGGUUCGAGCACAGAUGUUAAGGAAAACUGCGGUCUGGACGGCGCGCCCCCCGCGGACGGCAGCGCCCCGGGGCCGGGCGAGGGUGCCCCGCUCUCCAACGGGGGCGGCGGGGGCGGCGGGGGCGGCGGCAGGAAGCGGCCCCUGGAGGAGGGCAGCAACGGCCACGCCAAGUUCCGCCUGAAGAAGCGGAGGAGGGCGCCGGGGCCGGCGCUGCCCAAGAACGCUCUGAUGCAGCUCAACGAGAUCAAGCCCGGCCUGCAGUACACGCUGCUGUCGCAGACGGGGCCCGUGCACGCGCCCCUGUUCGUCAUGUCCGUCGAGGUCAAUGGGCAGGUGUUCGAGGGCUCCGGCCCCACCAAGAAGAAGGCCAAGCUGCACGCGGCCGAGAAGGCGCUGCGGUCCUUUGUGCAGUUCCCCAACGCCUCCGAGGCCCACCUGGCCAUGGGCCGGACCCUGUCUGCCAACACGGACUUCACGUCCGACCAGGCCGACUUCCCCGACGCCCUCUUCAACGGCUUCGAGACCCCAGACAGGUCGGACGCGCCCUUCUACCUGGGCUCCAACGGCGACGACUCCUUCAGCUCCAGCGGGGACCUCAGCCUGUCCGCGUCCCCCGUGCCCGCCGGCCUGGCCCAGCCCCUGCUGCCCAUACCCCCGCCCUUCCCGCCCCCGAGCGGGAAGAACCCCGUGAUGAUCUUGAACGAGCUGCGCCCGGGACUGAAGUACGACUUCCUGUCGGAGAGCGGGGAGAGCCACGCCAAGAACUUUGUCAUGUCCGUGGUGGUGGACGGUCAGUUCUUCGAGGGCUCGGGGAGGAACAAAAAGCUGGCCAAGGCCCGGGCCGCGCAGUCUGCCCUGGCGACUGUCUUUAACUUGCACUUGGACCAGACCCCGUCUCGCCAGCCCAUCCCCAGCGAGGGCCUUCAGUUACACUUACCACAGGUGUUAGCCGACGCCGUGGCCCGCCUGGUUCUGGAUAAGUUUGGGGACCUGACGGACAACUUCUCCUCCCCUCACGCGCGCAGGAAAGUCCUUGCUGGAAUCGUCAUGACGACAGGCACGGACGUCAAGGAUGCCAAGGUGAUAAGUGUCUCCACGGGGACGAAGUGUGUUAACGGCGAGUACAUGAGCGACCGGGGCCUGGCGCUGAACGACUGCCACGCGGAGAUCAUAUCGCGGAGGGCCCUGCUUCGGUUUCUCUACACGCAGCUGGAGCUUUACUUAAAUAACAAAGAUGAUCAAAAAAGAUCCAUCUUUCAGAGGUCGGAGCGCGGAGGCUUCAGGCUGAAGGACAGCGUCCAGUUCCACCUGUACAUCAGCACCUCCCCCUGCGGCGACGCCCGGAUCUUCUCGCCGCACGAGCCGCUUCUCGAAGAACCAGCAGACAGACAUCCGAAUCGGAAAGCCAGAGGGCAGCUACGGACAAAGAUAGAGUCCGGCGAGGGGACGAUCCCGGUCCGCUCGAACGCGGGCAUCCAGACGUGGGACGGGGUGCUGCAGGGGGAGAGGCUGCUCACCAUGUCCUGCAGUGACAAGAUGGCCCGGUGGAACGUGGUGGGCGUCCAGGGCUCCUUGCUCAGCGUCUUCGUGGAGCCGAUCUACUUGUCCAGCAUCAUCCUGGGCAGCCUGUACCAUGGGGACCACCUCUCCAGGGCCAUGUACCAGCGCAUCUCCAACAUAGAAGACCUGCCCCCCCUCUACACCCUCAACAAGCCUCUGCUCAGCGAGUGUCAGAGGCUAGCAGUAAAGUGAGCAAGCGCUUUUGAAUUCAAGGGUCCUAAGCUCUCAGUUCGCCCUUAUUUAAAAGGACACAGUUAAGACACUGGAACGUCGUGUGGAGUCCGUGGCACGUGGGCGGUGCUCAGGAAGAGCUGUUGGCAGGUGCCUGGUUGAGCGGUGCCGAGCAUUGUUGCCUCUGUCACCAUGAUCUGAAAAGACAGGGUCGUUUUGCUGGAAGCGUGUUCUGAGGUGCUGGGAGGAGGGCUCACUGACAGAGGUCAGGUGUGUGCUUCCCACGUCGUGUGCGUGAGGUGCAUCCGUGUCUGUACGAACACACGGACAAUACUGCUUCGGUGCUGCACCAUGCAGAUUUGUUAAAAACAUGAAGUUAUAAAUAGCAAAAGAGUCUGCUCUUCCGUCUUCCUGCCUGACAUCACUUCUGAUCCCCGAAGCGGGACGCUCAGCCCUUGCGGUCGGGCCCUCUGCCGCGGGCCUGGCUUGGAGCUCGCCUCAUUGGCAGCCCCGUGCAGCUUCUUCACCUGCCCGGGAUGGGCUGGGCCGGGUGCCGGCACGGCCCUCCCAGACCAGUGGGGAGAGUCCUGUGAAACUCAGGGACAGCCUCAGGUCUCAGGGAGCAAGUGUUUCUCAAAUCUGAGCCAGGGGACAAGGUCCCUGGCCUCAAAGUCUAUUUCAGAAUGCAAACUGUUUGAAAUGGCUCACUUCGGAUAAAUGCUUUACUUGGAACCAGUGGUGUUUUGUUGUCCCUUUGAGAGAGCUCACAUCGGCACUGCAGGGAGCUGGGAGAAGACGCCUUAGGGUGGGGGAGCGAGGCCUGAGAGGGAGGGCAGCAGGAUGCCCCGCAGAGCAGCAGCGAGGUCCGGCCUCCCGGGGAAUCCAGCUCACAGGCAGAACGACGACAGGUGCCGCCCAGAGGAAAGAUUUGGUCCAGAGAAAUCUGGAGGGGGUGUCGCUGUCAUAACGGUUUGGGAGGGCCCACUGCCCUGUGCAGGGCCCCACGGUAAAGCCGUCAGAACUCUCUCUCACAGCGAGGUCCCACAGGGAGUGAGUGACUGGUCCAGGGUGGACCCAGCAUCCUGGGGCCCCUCUGGUCCUCUUGCAGUGCAGACGUGUGCGUGUAACCAGCCACGCAGGUUGUUGCUCUUUGUCCACCUCUCAGUUUACCGCGGGCCGCUCCCAUGCUGGGGCAGAGUGGUGUGUAACAGCAGCGAGAGAGCUUUGCGUCCUCGGGGAGCGACGAGAACGGGCCACGACGUGCUGCGGAGGAUGGCGCGGAGGGCAGCUGGUUUGCCUGGAAACCAGAGCAGACAAGACAGACGUUCAUGAACGAUGUAGCGAUGGGCUGUUCUUGCAAAUGCCGACAAGGUUAAAACGAGAAGGAUUUCACUUGCGUUUCAGCAUAGAAAGUAAACUCCCAGGAGGGACCUGCCGGUGGCAGCGGUGCCGCGUGAGCCCCGCCUCGGACACUCAGGUGCGGCUCUUCCCGGGGACUUGGAAGCAGAGCCUCGGCGCCCUCGCACUCCUCCUUUUCCGUUAAGUUUCAGAUCCGACACCUGCGAGUCUCAGAAUAGUUCUGCGUCUCGUUCACUCCGUUGGCCCUUGAGUCUGAGUUUCUCGACUGGCCGGUGUGCUGUCAGGCACCCCGAGAGAUCUCAAGAGGUAGGACCAAGGUGCUUGACUGUCCCGGGGCUGUGGGGACAGCCAGGCUGCCCCGGCUCACGGGGUCAGACUCCUCUCAGUGCUGGCUCUACUGCCAACACCGUCACAAAACAGUAACAGGCAGGGAGAGAUCAGGAUGUGGGAGGAGAUGGUGUGGAGCUCACCUCCCGCCACGGACACAUCAAAAAUCCAUCCGCCUGUGGGAAGAUUCUCAUGGAGAGCCAGCCGGACGCUGACACGGGACUCCUGCACAGCCAGGGCAAGGCUGCGAGGAAGGUACCCACGGAAUCGGCAGAAUGGGAAGAAAAGCACCGGGGCAGGGCCUGCACUCACGGGAGGGGGCUCCCAGGAAAGGGGAGGUCGCUUCCCGGGAAAGGGGAGGGCACAGGGGCGGACCUGCCCUGGGAGACAGCGGGUGGAGCCGCAGGCUGUGUCCGCUGUGCAGGAGGCAAGGCUGGCUGGCCGCUGGGAGAGCCGGGGGACAGACAGAAGGUGGGAGAAGCCUGGACUAAACUCAUGAGAAGGACACGGUGCUGGCUGAGCCCACCCAGAUGGAGAGAGGUCUGCCCAAUGCGCUGGCCCUGCUCGCUCCAUGCCACACCUUGGCACUGGACCCAGGGCGGCCAAGAUCGGGGAAGAGACUCCAUGUAGGGACGCAGAGGCGACUCAGAGGCCUGGGGUGGGGCCCAGGCAGGGUGAUGCGGCCGCUGUUGGAGCUCACCCAAGUAGUGCCCCAAAGCAGCCCAGACUUCUGACGGCAGCGUGGCCACCUGGACUCCCACGAUGGCCUCGCCAGGCACCCCAGCCCAGGCUGAGCGAGGGCUCCAGCCCCACCAGCUCCACGCACGUCACAGCACUAGGUCAUGGGCGGCCACGCAGUGGAAAGAGGAGACCGAGGGCUGCACCUGAGCGGAGCCACAGACGCCCACACAGGCGGCGCUCUGGACCUCUGUGAGCGCACGAGCCCCUCUGCUUCAGCCGUCCCCUCCUUCGGGGCAGAGACCCCAGUGUGAAGAGCAGAAAAAACACACGUAAAGGGAACAGAUACUGACUGGUGUAUAUA